UGGACGUCAAGUCCUCAUGGCCCUUAUGGGUAGGGCUUCACACGUCAUACAAUGGUCGGUACAGAGGGUUGCCAAGCCGCGAGGUGGAGCCAAUCCCUUAAAGCCGAUCGUAGUCCGGAUCGUAGUCUGCAACUCGACUACGUGAGGUCGGAAUCGCUAGUAAUCGCAGAUCAGCAUGCUGCGGUGAAUACGUUCCCGGGUCCUU
rnacentral:rRNA from 1 species